rnacentral:rRNA from 1 species
GGCUCAUUAAAUCAGUUAUCGUCUAUUUGAUAGUACCUUACUACUCGGAUAACCGUGGUAAUUCUAGAGCUAAUACGUGCUGAAAACCCCGACUUCGGAAGGGGUGUAUUUAUUAGAUUAAAAAGCCAAUGCCCCCCCGGGGCCCCUUGGUGAUUCAUGAUAACUCCUCGAAUCGCACGGCCUUGCGCCGGCGAUGGUUCAUUCAAAUUUCUGCCCUAUCAACUUUCGACGGCUGGGUCUUGGCCAGCCGUGGUGACAACGGGUAACGGAGGGUUAGGGCUCGACCCCGGAGAAGGAGCCUGAGAAACGGCUACUACAUCCAAGGAAGGCAGCAGGCGCGCAAAUUACCCAAUCCCGACGCGGGGAGGUAGUGACAAUAAAUACUGAUACAGGGCUCUUUCGGGUCUUGUAAUUGGAAUGAGUACAAUUUAAUUCCCUUAACGAGGAACAAUUGGAGGGCAAGUCUGGUGCCAGCAGCCGCGGUAAUUCCAGCUCCAAUAGCGUAUAUUAAAGUUGUUGCAGUUAAAAAGCUCGUAGUUGAACCUUGGGCCUGGCUGGCCGGUCCGCCUCACCGCGUGCACUGGUCCGGCCGGGCCUUUCCCUCUGGGGAACCGCAUGCCCUUCGCUGGGCGUGCCGGGGAACCAGGACGUUUACUUUGAAAAAAUUAGAGUGUUCAAAGCAGGCUUAUGCUCGGAUACAUUAGCAUGGAAUAAUGGAAUAGGACGUGCGGUUCUAUUUUGUUGGUUUCUAGGACCGCCGUAAUGAUUAAUAGGGACAGUCGGGGGGCAUCCGUAUUCAGUUGUCAGAGGUGAAAUUCUUGGAUCUACUGAAGACGAACUACUGCGAAAGCAUUUGCCAAGGAUGUUUUCAUUAAUCAGGAACGAAAGUUAGGGGGAUCGGAAGACGAUCAGAUACCGUCGUAGUCUUAACCAUAAACUAUGCCGACUAGGGAUCGGACGGUGUUGCUUUUUGACCCGUUCGGCACCUUGCACGAAA